UUACGCUGUUAUCCCCCAAGGUAAUUUAUUUUAUAUUUAAAAAUAUAGAUUCCCAACUCACAAAUCAAUGAUUAUAAAUUUAAAGAAUUAUUUAAAUCUUUAAGUCACCCCAACUAAAUUCAUCUUAAAAAUUAAAAUAUUAAAUACCAAAUAAUAAUAAUCAACAAAAAAUUAAACUCUAUAGGGUCUUCUCGUCUUUUAAUUAAAUUUAAGCUUUUUAACUUAAAAAUUAAAUUAAAAAAUAAAUUACAAAGAGACAGAAAUUUUCUCGUCCAACCAUUCAUUCCAGCUUUCAAUAAAAAAACUAAUUAUUAUGCUACCUUUGCACAGUUAAAAUACUGCGGCAAUUUAAUAAAUCAUUGAGCAGAAUUAGACCUUAANNNNNNNNNNNNNNNNNNNNNNNNNNNNNNNCGGAGAAUAUUUUGCCGAAUUCCUUUCCGUAACCUAACACAAAAAUAUACUACAAUAAAAAUAAAUUUACUAAUUUAAUCAUAUUUACUAAAAAUAAAAAAUUAAUUUUUACAUUUCAAUAUACCUAGAAUAAAUAAAAAUAAAUAAAUCCAUAACAAUAACUAUUAAAUUAUAAAAAUGAAUGACAACUCAAAUCAUACAAAAAAUACUAAAGAAUAAAUUUUUAAAAAUAAAUAUAAAAGCUCAUCCCCUUAUAUAUUUAACAUUAAAACUUAUAGCUAAAAAAUUAAACUAUAAAUAAUUAAUAAUAGAAUUAAAUUCUUUUCUUAAAGAACCAGAUAUAUUAAAAAACGAGUAACGUCUCAUUUCCAGUU
rnacentral:rRNA from 1 species